CCACGUCCCGACGCACUUCCCCCCGGCGCCGGGACUUUCCCAGAGCCGGGCUUCGGCGCCUCACCCCCCGGGCGCCGAGGCCCGGCUCCAUG
rnacentral:ncRNA from 1 species